AUCACCUGUGGAGGGGGCGAGGGAAAUGAGAAACAAAUGCUACCGUUAGCAUACGCGUCCUAAGAACACUGGAAAUAGCACGUCCCCGUGUGUUAACUUGAUGUGCGCGUGACGCGGCUGAUGACGGGCCAUUAGGAUUAGGCUCGUGCUACAGGUACCGUCGGGCUGUGACAGGUUUGAAGGUACAAGAAAAGGUGUAAAAUCCGCUUCCGCACGGUCAGCAGCCGAAGGGUGAGCAUCGUUUUCGUGCAAGGUAACCCGUUCUAAGGACUUGGGCAUUGGGUUGAUGGUGGAAAAAGUAACAAACAAAGCAAUAACCCAUCCCGCAUGGCUUACCUUAACGCUUUGGUCGUCGAGGUCGUGCACCAGAAUUUUGCGCUUCUUGUGUCUUUUCUUCUUACAGUGUCGAUGGUGAUGAUGAUGAUGUCUGCUUCCGGGAUGUUUUGCAUCGUCCCAGCAACGCAUAAAAGGGGCCGACGCAUGAAACAGCAAGGAUACCGAGCAUCAGGUAAGGUGCGGUGGGAUAUUCUUAUGCCAUUUUUAUUAGAGCCUCUUGAGCGAUCGGGUUUCGCCACCAAGAGGACCGGUGGCACAUGGUAAAUCGGGGUAAAAGUAUGCCAGCGGCUUACAAUACAAUGCAUACGGUUGGACCGGUGGCAGCACUCCGGGGACGAAGCAACAGCGCCACAGGGUCCACCUUGACGUCAGAGUCGCCGGGGAGUCCUUGUUUGCUAACAUGACCCAAGAUUCGGUCUCUUGAGUGAAGUACCCGCCAGAGUAGGUCUUGUAAGGAGACGCAACCUACUCGCUACUGUUUCUGCGUCUCGUAUCGAUCUUUGGUGUGGAAUUGCCUGCGUACAGUGGCUCUCUUAAGACACGGCACUAUUGAAUCCAGCUCCCCGUGACGUUCGGAUUCAAUUUGCAGUGAAACAUCGUACAUGAAGUCUUCGUCGUAGGGGAAUUGACUACUCGCAGAUGUGAUGGGUUGGGUUGGUGUGGAACCACGUUCGGUGCCGUAAACGGUGCAGCAAGCGGGAAGGCAGACGGGCAAACGGGCAGGUGCGUACAUGCGAGGAACAUUGAGAGAAACAGAUAACAAGAGUGAACGGUGAGAGACAAUCAGGCAACUAUUGAAGGCUGCUUGUGAGCGGGCGGGCAAGGACAUAGAGAACGAAGCUUACGUUCGGACGGUAGCCUUCGUACAUGACCUUCUUCAGGACUGAUACAAUAAUACUAUCUCAUGCGUAUGGAUCCACCCAGGUGUAUAAGAAUACACGCGGUAGUAACGUGAUCGAGCGAGAGCGAAUAAAAUCUGACAGUCCUUUGAACUCAGCGACCUUUCCACCAAACAGGUAAUUGAAGGAGUUUACUUAUUAAGAAUCAUCACACACUGACAUAACCGGAAGUAGUGGUACAUGGUACGAGGUCGGUACAGACUGUUAGUGUCAAGUAAUGCUCGAGAUUUUAAUGACAGGUCCUGGACCGGAACUGGGAGCUGCUCUUAAACGCAAUCCAUCCCAAUGAGAGGAAGCACACAAAUUAAUCUGGUUCUGAUUGUAAUUAGCGAGCAAGUGCGUGAAUCAGCACAUUCGUUGGGAUUAGUGUUAACGUGUUAACAGCGCUUAGCCUUGUAAUGAGGACGUGAUUUUAAGUAAUUUAUUGCGUUGUGCUUGUGAUUAAUAUUACCUGAUGAAAACCCCAAGAAUGAAUACAUUUCAUACAUUAAAGUGAACUUUUGUGUUGUUAUGUGGAGCCUUUUGACGAAGACUAUGAGUGGCUUUAAUUUAGUAAUGUUUACUUCAAAUAUGUUAAUAUCAAGAUUUCAUGCUUAUUGUUUGAAAAUUGUCGUUAUUUAAAAAAAUGAUUAUGGCAGUGUUGUUUUGUGUUUGAUUGUGAGUUAAUAUAUUGAAAAAUACUAGUUUUGGCAUCAAAAAAUAACAUCACUACUUGCAUAAAAAGGAAAACCGUGUAGUUAAAAAACAGUUCGAUAUUAAAGAUAUGUGUACUCGGUAACUUUCAAUAAUAUUGUUUUAAGGAUUUUAUCAAUUUAUAUUUACACAAAAACUAAACUUUCUUUUAAACUAUUCCUAUAACA